rnacentral:tRNA from 1 species
CAGAGGUAGUUUUAAUUAAAAUUUUAAUUUUGGAAAUUAAAGAUAAAAGGGUAUUUUUUCUCUGA